UGCUGGUGGCGGCUGCUGCUGGUGGCGGCUAAUGCUGGCAGCUGCUGCUGCCGGCUGCUGGUAAUGGUGGCUGGUGCUGGCCAUGGCUGCUGGUGGUGUCUGUCCAUUGUUGAAUCUAUUGUCGCCCUAUUUCACUUUAUCUGCUUUUUAGUGUCCAGGACACAGAUGAAGAGGAUGUUAGUAUGUGUUGUCGAGAGGAACUGCCCUACAGUGACUGGCCAUAGUGCAUAGUGGAACUCCACAGAUCUUGCUGGACCACCAGUAUCGUUGUUGUGGCCACUGUACGUAUGUUUGUUGAUAUUAUUCAUGCUUGUUCCCAUUUUUUUUUGUUCCACACUGUUCAUUUUUAUCUUAUGCCAGGUACCUUUAUUAUGAAUGUUGUCCUUCCUUUCAGCCCUGAUGCACUCUGAAGCCUGAUUUGUGGAGGAUUUUUUUAAAAUGUAUUAAUCACUUAUAAUAUUCCUCCCUGUUCCUUCACUUUGUUCUUGUUUUUCCAGUUAGAUACACACAUUUACACACACACACACAUCUUGUUGUCUCACUCAGUGUUUUUUAUUAAACAAUAUUUGAUUCAUUCA